UACAGAGGUGCCGAGCGUUAGGCGGAAUCACUGGGCUUAAAGCGUGUGUAGGCGGACUUCUAAGUACCUUGUGAAAUCCCACGGCUCACCCGUGGAACUGCUGGGUAUACUGGUCGUCUUGAGCCACCUAGGGGCCAGCGGAACAAAUGGUGGAGCGGUGAAAUGCGUAGAUAUCAUUUGGAACGCCAACGGUGAAAACAGCUGGCUGGGGGUGUGCUGACGCUGAGGCACGAAAGCCAGGGGAGCGAACGGG
rnacentral:rRNA from 1 species